CUCAUAGCGUAUAUUAAGUUGUUGCAGUUAAAACGCUCGUAGUCGGAUUUCGGGGCGGGCUGCUCGGUCUGCCGAUGGGUAUGCACUGGGUGGCGCGUCCUUCCUUCCGGAGACCGCGCCUUCUCUUAACUGAGCGGGCGCGGGAGACGGAACGUUUACUUUGAAAAAAUCAGAGUGUUUCAAGCAGGCAUCUCGCUCUUGCAUGGAUUAGCAUGGGAUAAUGAAAUAGGACUUUGGUGCUAUUUUGUUGGUUUCGAACACCGAAGUAAUGAUUAACAGGGACAGUCAGGGGCACUCGUAUUCCGUCGAGAGAGGUGAAAUUCUCAGACCAACGGAAGACGAACCACUGCGAAAGCAUUUGCCAGGGAUGUUUUCACUGAUCAAGAACGAAAGUUAGGGGAUCGAAGACGAUCAGAUACCGUCGUAGUCUUAACCAUAAACCAUGCCGACUAGGGAUUCGAGGGUGUUCCAUCUGUGACCCCUUGAGCACCUUUCGGGAAACUAAAGUCUUUGGGUUCCGGGGGGAGUAUGGUCGCAAGGCUGAAACUUAAA
rnacentral:rRNA from 1 species